AUCCCAGGUUUACAACCAGGCACUGACUACAAGAUCUACCUGUACACCUUGAACGACAAUGCUCGGAGCUCCCCUGUGGUCAUCGACGCCUCCACUGCCAUUGAUGCACCAUCCAACCUGCGUUUCCUGGCCACCACACCCAAUUCCUUGCUGGUAUCAUGGCAGCCGCCACGUGCCAGGAUUACCGGCUACAUCAUCAAGUAUGAGAAGCCUCGGUCUCCUCCCAGAGAAGUGGUCCCUCGGCCCCGCCCUGGUGUCACAGAGGCUACUAUUACUGGCCUGGAACCGGGAACCGAAUAUACAAUUUAUGUCAUUGCCCUGAAGAAUAAUCAGAAGAGUGAGCCCCUGAUUGGAAGGAAAAAGACAGUUCAAAAGACCCCUUUCGUCACCCACCCUGGGUAUGACACUGGAAAUGGUAUUCAGCUUCCUGGCACUUCUGGUCAGCAACCCAGUGUUGGUCAACAAAUGAUCUUUGAGGAACAUGGUUUUAGGCGGACCACACCGCCCACAACGGCCACCCCCAUAAGGCAUAGGCCAAGACCAUACCCGCCGAAUGUAGGUGAGGAAAUCCAAAUUGGUCACAUCCCCAGGGAAGAUGUAGACUAUCACCUGUACCCACACGGUCCGGGACUCAAUCCAAAUGCCUCUACAGGACAAGAAGCUCUCUCUCAGACAACCAUCUCAUGGGCCCCAUUCCAGGACACUUCUGAGUACAUCAUUUCAUGUCAUCCUGUUGGCACUGAUGAAGAACCCUUACAGGUAAUUAAUUGUUCUCUUCACUUCUCAUGGGGCAGCACAGAAAGG
rnacentral:sRNA from 1 species